UAAUCAUCUGAAGGUCAUCACCAAUCUAU
rnacentral:misc_RNA from 1 species